UGGGAACGUGCCUUUUGGUUCGGAACAACUGAGGGAAACUUCAGCUAAUACCGGAUAAGCCCUUACGGGGAAAGAUUUAUCGCCAAAAGAUCGGCCCGCAUCUGAUUAGCUAGUCGGUGGGGUAAUGGCCCACCAAGGCUACGAUCAGUAGCUGGUCUGAGAGGAUGAUCAGCCACACUGGGACUGAGACACGGCCCAGACCUCCGUACGGGGGGCAG
rnacentral:rRNA from 1 species